UUUGGCAACCUACACUGCACGUACUUGCUGACGAAAGUAGGCAGUUUCCGUUUACGGAAAGUACGGAAUGAGCUAUUACCGCGCAAGGGAGGGUACGGCUUCAGACCAAAACAAGAACGGCCAUCUGAAUUCACUGUGUUUAGCGUUCCUUUUAAAUAUAGUAGCAUGAAUAGCAAACAUCUAUACCUAAAAUAAAAGGAUGGCGCCAUGGAGGGAUUCAACAAUAACUGGCGUGUUAAGAUGGAAGGAAUGCACUUCAAGUUCAGUCAUGCAGGAAAGCUGGCUGUAUCAAUGGUACCAGUAAUUCUCAUGAUAUUCAAAUCAGCUGUUCAGUUUAACAAACAAGCUGGGGGUUUACAAGUCAACAGUGCACUUCUGAGAACAAAUUACCUUCAUUAUGACACAAUCAUUUUUAGAACUUGCUUUUUCAUUCUAGGUCUGGACUAAAAAUGAGUCACUGUAGACAAUAUCAUUUCAUUUUAUGUGUGUAUUAAUUUACUGUCAUUCUGAAUUAUGUAGGUUGGUUUUUUUUUUUAAUACAAAGGAGCCUGGUGAUGAAUUUGUACAUUAAAAAAGUUAAGCAGGAAGUAGGCAGUGAUGACUAAAAUAGGAACGACCAAGGGCAGUGUGUCCACAUUACAUUAUUUGUUAGGUCUGUUAAUGAAUAACUUUCAGUAAGAUCAGCAGCACACACUUGUAUGCUCGUGUAUGUAUACUCCCUUGUACUUUCAAAAAAUAGCUUUAGAAUCACUGAGAUUGUCCAUCGACAAUUUCUUAAACACCAACUGAAUGAUUGCUAAAUAUUGCGUGUGUAUGUGUUUGUGUGCAUGCAUGUCUUGGCUUGUUCCGGUGUACCUUCUCAGAGGUUGUGAGACGAGUUUAGCCAGUUUUGAAGACAAAGAGGCUUUAAGAUCUUCUUAACUUUGUCUUGAAAAAGCUACCACACAGAUGCCCAUGACAAGAUAUAGGUCACAUGCUGAUUUCUCCUGUAUGAUGCAUGUAUUUAGUCAUGUUUUAUUUAUUUUUUUUUUUUGUUAAAAAGGAAACUGCUUGGGACUUUUUUUUUUAAAUUACUUACUUACUCACUAACAUUCACAGUAGGCUAUAUAAUAAAUGGUUGUUGUGAGUAAUUCUUCAGAAAAGAUAUGUCUUAAAUCUGGAAACAUUGUCAUUUAGUAUUUGCGUCACUCACAAAAUAAUCAAACACUUAGCUGAUUUGGUGCAGGGUGUGUGAACAAUGUUUUUCAGGAAGGAAGUCAUAAAGAAACAACUGGAUCUCCAAGCAGAUCUGAGUGUUAAAGCAUAAUGUAAACCAGCCUGUUCUGAUUUAAAGAUUGUUGAAGGAUGUAUUAGAUGAAAUGUUCCACAUUUGAGUUUUUACUUAUUAUUCAAAUAUAGAAUGUGUAUCUUUUUUGUCACUAUUGUCAUAGUUAAAACUUUAAAGCAAAAGAAAAUCUUGAAUAAGAAAUUUCUAGAUUUUGCAGAAUCAAUACUUUAAAUAUUGUUUGCAUUUAAUUUUUUUUACAGA